rnacentral:rRNA from 1 species
UGAGUAAAGUAUCGGAACGUGCCCAGUCGUGGGGGAUAACGCAGCGAAAGUUGUGCUAAUACCGCAUACGAUCUAUGGAUGAAAGCGGGGGAUCGCAAGACCUCGCGCGAUUGGAGCGGCCGAUAUCAGAUUAGCUAGUUGGUGGGGUAAAGGCUCACCAAGGCGACGAUCUGUAGCUGGUCUGAGAGGACGACCAGCCACACUGGGACUGAGACACGGCCCAGACUCCUACGGGAGGCAGCAGUGGGGAAUUUUGGACAAUGGGCGCAAGCCUGAUCCAGCAAUGCCGCGUGCAGGAUGAAGGCCUUCGGGUUGUAAACUGCUUUUGUACGGAGCGAAAAGGCUCUCUCUAAUACAGGGGGCUCAUGACGGUACCGUAAGAAUAAGCACCGGCUA